rnacentral:rRNA from 1 species
AGUGAACGCUGGCGGUAGGCCUAACACAUGCAAGUCGAACGGCAGCACAGUAAGAGCUUGCUCUUACGGGUGGCGAGUGGCGGACGGGUGAGGAAUACAUCGGAAUCUACUUUUUCGUGGGGGAUAACGUAGGGAAACUUACGCUAAUACCGCAUACGACCUACGGGUGAAAGCAGGGGAUCUUCGGACCUUGCGCGAUUGAAUGAGCCGAUGUCGGAUUAGCUAGUUGGUGGGGUAAAGGCCCACCAAGGCGACGAUCCGUAGCUGGUCUGAGAGGAUGAUCAGCCACACUGGAACUGGGACACGGUCCAGACUCCUACGGGAGGCAGCAGUGGGGAAUAUUGGACAAUGGGCGCAAGCCUGAUCCGGCCAUACCGCGUGGGUGAAGAAGGCCUUCGGGUUGUAAAGCCCUUUUGUUGGGAAAGAAAAGCAGCAGGUUAAUACCCCGCUGUUCUGACGGUACCCAAAGAAUAAGCACCGGCUAACUUCGUG